rnacentral:rRNA from 1 species
UACAGAGGUCCCGAGCGUUGUUCGGAUUCACUGGGCGUAAAGGGUGCGUAGGUGGUCGGGUAAGUCUGAGGUGAAAUCUCCGAGCCCAACUCGGAAACUGCCUUGGAUACUAUUCGGCUAGAGGGUUGGAGGGGGGACUGGAAUUCUCGGUGUAGCAGUGAAAUGCGUAGAUAUCGAGAGGAACACCAGUGGCGAAGGCAGCUCGCUGGGACGUUACUGACACUGAGGCGCGAAAGCGUGGGGAGCGAACAGG